GGGUUGUGAGGUUAAGCGACUAAGCGUACACGGUGGAUGCCCUGGCAGUCAGAGGCGAUGAAGGACGUGCUAAUCUGCGAUAAGCGUCGGUGAGGUGAUAUGAACCGUUAUAACCGGCGAUUUCCGAAUGGGGAAACCCAGUGUGUUUCGACACACUAUCAUUAACUGAAUCCAUAAGUUAAUGAGGCGAACCGGGGGAACUGAAACAUCUAAGUACCCCGAGGAAAAGAAAUCAACCGAGAUUCCCCCAGUAGCGGCGAGCGAACGGGGAGGAGCCCAGAGCCUGAAUCAGUGUGUGUGUUAGUGGAAGCGUCUGGAAAGGCGCGCGAUACAGGGUGACAGCCCCGUACACAAAAAUGCACAUGCUGUGAGCUCGAUGAGUAGGGCGGGACACGUGGUAUCCUGUCUGAAUAUGGGGGGACCAUCCUCCAAGGCUAAAUACUCCUGACUGACCGAUAGUGAACCAGUACCGUGAGGGAAAGGCGAAAAGAACCCCGGCGAGGGGAGUGAAAAAGAACCUGAAACCGUGUACGUACAAGCAGUGGGAGCCUCUUAAUGGGGUGACUGCGUACCUUUUGUAUAAUGGGUCAGCGACUUAUAUUCUGUAGCAAGGUUAACCGAAUAGGGGAGCCGAAGGGAAACCGAGUCUUAACUGGGCGUUAAGUUGCAGGGUAUAGACCCGAAACCCGGUGAUCUAGCCAUGGGCAGGUUGAAGGUUGGGUAACACUAACUGGAGGACCGAACCGACUAAUGUUGAAAAAUUAGCGGAUGACUUGUGGCUGGGGGUGAAAGGCCAAUCAAACCGGGAGAUAGCUGGUUCUCCCCGAAAGCUAUUUAGGUAGCGCCUCGUGAAUUCAUCUCCGGGGGUAGAGCACUGUUUCGGCAAGGGGGUCAUCCCGACUUACCAACCCGAUGCAAACUGCGAAUACCGGAGAAUGUUAUCACGGGAGACACACGGCGGGUGCUAACGUCCGUCGUGAAGAGGGAAACAACCCAGACCGCCAGCUAAGGUCCCAAAGUCAUGGUUAAGUGGGAAACGAUGUGGGAAGGCCCAGACAGCCAGGAUGUUGGCUUAGAAGCAGCCAUCAUUUAAAGAAAGCGUAAUAGCUCACUGGUCGAGUCGGCCUGCGCGGAAGAUGUAACGGGGCUAAACCAUGCACCGAAGCUGCGGCAGCGACACUAUGUGUUGUUGGGUAGGGGAGCGUUCUGUAAGCCUGUGAAGGUGGCCUGUGAGGGUUGCUGGAGGUAUCAGAAGUGCGAAUGCUGACAUAAGUAACGAUAAAGCGGGUGAAAAGCCCGCUCGCCGGAAGACCAAGGGUUCCUGUCCAACGUUAAUCGGGGCAGGGUGAGUCGACCCCUAAGGCGAGGCCGAAAGGCGUAGUCGAUGGGAAACAGGUUAAUAUUCCUGUACUUGGUGUUACUGCGAAGGGGGGACGGAGAAGGCUAUGUUGGCCGGGCGACGGUUGUCCCGGUUUAAGCGUGUAGGCUGGUUUUCUAGGCAAAUCCGGAAAACCAAGGCUGAGGCGUGAUGACGAGGCACUACGGUGCUGAAGCGACAAAUGCCCUGCUUCCAGGAAAAGCCUCUAAGCAUCAGGUAACAUCAAAUCGUACCCCAAACCGACACAGGUGGUCAGGUAGAGAAUACCAAGGCGCUUGAGAGAACUCGGGUGAAGGAACUAGGCAAAAUGGUGCCGUAACUUCGGGAGAAGGCACGCUGAUAUGUAGGUGAAGCGACUUGCUCGUGGAGCUGAAAUCAGUCGAAGAUACCAGCUGGCUGCAACUGUUUAUUAAAAACACAGCACUGUGCAAACACGAAAGUGGACGUAUACGGUGUGACGCCUGCCCGGUGCCGGAAGGUUAAUUGAUGGGGUUAGCGGCAACGCGAAGCUCUUGAUCGAAGCCCCGGUAAACGGCGGCCGUAACUAUAACGGUCCUAAGGUAGCGAAAUUCCUUGUCGGGUAAGUUCCGACCUGCACGAAUGGCGUAAUGAUGGCCAGGCUGUCUCCACCCGAGACUCAGUGAAAUUGAACUCGCUGUGAAGAUGCAGUGUACCCGCGGCAAGACGGAAAGACCCCGUGAACCUUUACUAUAGCUUGACACUGAACAUUGAGCCUUGAUGUGUAGGAUAGGUGGGAGGCUUUGAAGUGUGGACGCCAGUCUGCAUGGAGCCGACCUUGAAAUACCACCCUUUAAUGUUUGAUGUUCUAACGUGGGCCCCUAAUCGGGGUUGCGGACAGUGUCUGGUGGGUAGUUUGACUGGGGCGGUCUCCUCCUAAAGAGUAACGGAGGAGCACGAAGGUUGGCUAAUCCUGGUCGGACAUCAGGAGGUUAGUGCAAUGGCAUAAGCCAGCUUGACUGCGAGCGUGACGGCGCGAGCAGGUGCGAAAGCAGGUCAUAGUGAUCCGGUGGUUCUGAAUGGAAGGGCCAUCGCUCAACGGAUAAAAGGUACUCCGGGGAUAACAGGCUGAUACCGCCCAAGAGUUCAUAUCGACGGCGGUGUUUGGCACCUCGAUGUCGGCUCAUCACAUCCUGGGGCUGAAGUAGGUCCCAAGGGUAUGGCUGUUCGCCAUUUAAAGUGGUACGCGAGCUGGGUUUAGAACGUCGUGAGACAGUUCGGUCCCUAUCUGCCGUGGGCGCUGGAGAACUGAGGGGGGCUGCUCCUAGUACGAGAGGACCGGAGUGGACGCAUCACUGGUGUUCGGGUUGUCAUGCCAAUGGCACUGCCCGGUAGCUAAAUGCGGAAGAGAUAAGUGCUGAAAGCAUCUAAGCACGAAACUUGCCCCGAGAUGAGUUCUCCCUGACUCCUUGAGGGUCCUGAAGGAACGUUGAAGACGACGACGUUGAUAGGCCGGGUGUGUAAGCGCAGCGAUGCGUUGAGCUAACCGGUACUAAUGAACCGUGAGGCUUAACCUUACAACGCCGAAG
rnacentral:rRNA from 1 species